rnacentral:lncRNA from 1 species
AUUCUUAUUAAAGUAAGCAAGUAAGAACCAUGUUGUAUCCACCCAUUUGGUGCAGAUAUUCUCCAUGUUUGAUGGCCAUGACCGAGGUUUGAUGUUUUUGUAUUUGCUGGGAUUUGAUAGGACCAGGAGUCCAGGACCAUGAUACUCGUAGUAUCGUUCCAUGGCACUGACAGGUACGUCAUAUAUUUGAUGAUGCAGCCCCUACCUUUUUGUAAUUUUUAUUUAUGAGGCAUCUCCUAUCUUUGGCUUGGGGUUAUUUUUGGCAGGCCUAUUGUUUGCUGCUUGUGAUGAUUGAUAGAGGUUUUGGGUCUAUGUUUAAGCCUCGGUGAGGUUUUGGGUCUCUGUUUAAUCCUUGGUUCAUGAGGAUCCAUAUAUAGGUGGUUCAUAUGUUAAUUGGUUAUGAUUUCCUUGUGUUGAUUGGUGGCCUUCGACGGAUUCGUGCAACUAUAUGCAUUACUCAUGUUUGUUGCUUUCCCAGUGAAACAUAUCACAUGCUCAGCAAGAAAACAAAGUCUCAGCCUACUACCUGCAAGACUUUAGUCUUUAAUGACUAAAUGAACGGAUCACAUGUAAGACAGUUUCUAAAAUCGUUUCCUAUGUUGUAUCCUCAGAUGCACUGCUCGGGCCUUGCUCGCCUUGCAUACAAAUGUCAUCCUUUAAUUGUUUUGUGUUUGUCCUUAUGGUUUACUGAGUAUAAAUGUCGGUGUUGUGUUAUUGAUAUGUGCAUUCUCCUUUAAGAUUGUACAUGCCCUGUUUGUCAUCACCACUCUCGACAUAUAUAGCUCACUUUACCGAAAGUUUAUAUCCUGCUCAAAAUUUAAAGAAUAGAUGUGCUCGAUUUCUUCAACACAUCCUAUGAUUAUCUAUUCUUUAUUUUCCAGUAUUGAUCACCCUUAUCAACGCAUUACUGGUAUGUUGAACACGAUGUGAUACAGAAAACAAAUAAAGGUUGUCUUUCAAGAUAUAGAGCAUAUUGGCCAAGCCUGGACAAAAAACAUCAAAAUGUAGCAUGGUAACUUAGUGUUAGUUUGCUUAUGUAUUGUUUGAUACAUAUGAACAAUGAGCUCAAGAGGACUUUAUUUAUCUACUGUUGUAUACUUCAAUAUCACCUGUGGAUAUGCCUUUGAAUGUCCACAUCUAAUUGCUUUAUCAUCCCCAACAUCCAGGAUACAUAGAUGGGGAAUGCCAUUGCUCAAAGGCGAGCAUACGUGACCUUGUUGAAGGAGUUUUGCCCUCCGUUUGUGUCUCAAAUGUCGAUGAUGCCCUCUGUGCUAUCACUCGCAUGUCCUUUUUAUUUUGUUUAUUCAGCGAAUGUUGGAUUAGACAAGGAUUUAUUCACGUUGGAUCUGUACAACUAUGGACUAUUCAUGCAAUUUUUUAUUCAAACUUUGAAAUGAGAGAAUUGGAUGCUGGGUUGUUGCAUGUUUUUUCUUGAUGUUAGAUUAUCUAUUGCCAUUUUUAUGUGUUC